GACCCGAAUGAUGGUGAACUAUGCCUGAUCAGGUCGUAGCCAGAGGAAACCCUGAUGGAGGACCGAAGCAAUUCUGACAUGCAAAUCGAUUUUUAGAGUUAGAAUAAGGGACGAAAGACCAAUCUGGUAGUUGG
rnacentral:ncRNA from 1 species